UUAAAGUUUUAUUUUGGCUUAAAAAUUUAUUAUUAAUUUAUAUUAUAUGUAAAUUUUUGUGUGAUUUAUUAUUUAUUUAAAAAAUAAAUAUUUUUAUUUAUUUGCAGUAAUUAAUAUUAUUAAUUAAAGAAAUUUAGAAAUAGAAAUAUUAGUUAAUAUUGACUUAAUUUGUGCCAGCAGUUGCGGUUAUACAAAUAAUGUAAAUAAAUUUUAUUAAUAAAAGUUAAAUGAUUUAGUUUAUAGAAUUAUAAAAUAAUUUAUUAAGUGAAAUUUUAAUUUAUUUUUAAUUUUAUUUUCAGAAUAAUUGAAGCUAAGAAAUUUUAAUUAAAAACUAGGAUUAGAUACCCUAUUAUUUAAUAUGUAAAUAAUAUUUAUAAAUUUAUUUGAGUAGUAUUAGGUAUGUUCUUGAAACUUAAAAAAUUUGGCGGUAUUUUAGUCUAUUCAGAGGAACUUGUUUUUUAAUCGAUAAUCCACGAUGUACCUUACUUAAAAUUGUAAUUCAAUUUAUAUAUCGUUGUUAUUAGAAUAUUUUAUAAGAAUAAUAAUUUUCUAUAAUUUAUAUAAAAAUUAAUAUCAAAUCAAGGUGUAGUUUAUUUUUAAGUAUAAAUGAGUUACAAUAAAUUUUAUUUAUAUGGAUUUAAAUAUGAAAAAUUUAAUUAAAUUGGAUUUGAUAGUAAAAUUAUAAAGAUAAAUAAUUUGAUUUUAGCUCUAAAAUAUGUACAUAUCGCCCGUCGCUCUUAUUAUUAAAGUAAGAUAAGUCGUAACAUAGUAGAUGUACUGGAAAGUGUAUCUAGAAU
rnacentral:ncRNA from 1 species